rnacentral:rRNA from 1 species
UACGUAGGGUCCGAGCGUUGUCCGGAAUUAUUGGGCGUAAAGGGCUCGUAGGCGGUCUGUUGCGUCGGGAGUGAAAACUUACAGCUUAACCGUGAGCGUGCUUUCGAUACGGGCAGACUUGAGGCAUUCAGGGGAGAACGGAAUUCCUGGUGUAGCGGUGAAAUGCGCAGAUAUCAGGAGGAACACCGGUGGCGAAGGCGGGUCUCUGGGCCGAUACUGACGCUGAGGAGCGAAAGCGUGGGGAGCGAACAGG